AAAAUAAGGUUAUCAUUCGUCAACCCUAAACGACAUGGUUAAUCAAUCAACAUACAGAGUGCACAACAAUCUCAUAAUUUACAUUUAAGUAACUAUAUACACAUGCAAGAGACCUUGACUAUUAGAGGAGUGACUCUAGGCGUGGGUGGCACUACAGGAUGCCAUGGUACGUACCAAAUGGACACUUCAAUCUAGGUCCCAACUACCUUAGAAUCUGAAAACAUGAAGUUAAAAAGAGUGAGUAUAAACCUAGUGAGUAAACAUAGGAAGGGAACAAGCAAACGAUAUGGAGAGUUUUUCAAAAACAUGAUGCACUAGUUUAAAAGCAAUGCAAAUUUGUAUAUUAUGAACAAAACUCGAUGCCGUGCUAUUUUUCAGCUUAUUUUAAAACAUUUAGGGAGUUCAACUUUCAACAUUCAAUGCAAUCACAUAAUAUUUUCUCUAACAUUUCUAUGGUAUGUGUUAACAUGUAUACAACCACCGAUCAUCAGCUCUUGUGCACUCUCACAUCACACAUAGCUAGAAUCAUCAUCCUCCGGUCAUCAGCUCAUGGGCACUCUCACAUCGCACAUAGCUGGAAUCAUCACCCAUCGGUCAUCAGCUCAUGUCCAUUCCCACACUGCACAUAUGGAAUCACCUGUCAUCAUCAGCAUGUGCACUCCAACACCGCACAUGCGCGGUUACAAUUAUCAUUCAACAUUACAUUUCAAUGCAUGGCACACGUAACAACAUGUAACAAGAAUCUUUGCAUAAUAAUACAUCACAUGCCACAAAUCAAUUGGCAAUUCAACAUAAUAUUUCAAAUAUGUAAUUCAUCACAUUAUACAUAUUGCAUAAUAUCGGAACACAUGAGUUAAUCACAUUGCACAAUUUCACAACGUAAAGACAUUUCAUCAAGGGCUUGUUCCCAAGCACAUUUUAAAGUAAAGAAAAAUAAAGUUUUCAAAUGAUUCAUUCAAACACAUGUGCAUUUAUCCCAAAACAUUUAUAAAUGCAAGUUCACUCACCUUAACAAUGCCACCUAACAAAAUCUUAAUCUAGGUAGUCCCGAAAUACCAUUAAAACCUAUAAUUGCCAAUAAACAAUAAUAGCUUCAAAUAUAUCAUAAAUUCAAACUUAAUAAUUCUAAUAAGCAUACGCUUGAUAAACUACAUUCUAGCCUAAUUUUUAACCAAGAAUUCUAGUCUAAUUCUCAAACCCAUCAUAUCAACUAUUCCAAUUUAAAGGUUCUUUACCUUGGUGAGCUUGGAGGCAUAAGGAUUAACAAAAACCUAAUAUUUCCAAGCAAAAGAAUUUGAAGAAAUUAAGAAAUAAAAUUUGAAAAUAUAACCCAUAAAUUCAUAAAUUCAUAAAUUCUAAGAGUUGAAAAUAUAUACCUUUUAGCCUUAAAAAUGGAAAUUUGAAGUUGAAAAUUCAAGUGUUGGUGAUGGUGGAGUAGAAAUAAAAAAUAAAGGAAAGAAAGAGAGAUUUUUCCUUCUCUCUCCUAGGGUUUAGUUGUGUUGGAAAAUGGAGUUAGAAGCUGCAGGUUUGGUGCCCAAGAAGUUAGGAGAAGAAAGAAGUAAGAAAAGAAAUGAAAUGAAAGAAAGGAAGGAAAAGAAAAUGGAAAAGGCUUGAUUUUUAUGGUGGAGGAUGAAAA
rnacentral:lncRNA from 1 species